UACGUAGGGGGCAAGCGUUGUCCGGAAUCAUUGGGCGUAAAGCGCGUGUAGGCGGCUCGGUAAGUCCGCUCUGAAAGUCCGGGGCUCAACCCCGGGAGGCGGGUGGAUACUGUCGAGCUCGAGUCCGGAAGAGGCGAGUGGAAUUCCUGGUGUAGCGGCGAAAUGCGCAGAUAUCAGGAGGAACACCGAUGGCGAAGGCAGCUCGCUGGGACGUGACUGACGCUGAGACGCGAAAGCGUGGGGAGCAAACAGG
rnacentral:rRNA from 1 species